CAGAGGAAGCCCUCAGAUAGCAGACUUCAGAGAGAGCAGGUUGUAAAAUCUUUCUUAUUGAACUUAAGAGACUGCCUGGCUCUUAGUCGAUUACUCCUGGAUCUGGGAAGAGAAGAAGGAAAAUAAAGGGGAAAGGGGCUUCUCUAUAGAAUGUGGAUUUUUCCCACAAGAGGCUUUGCAGAGCAAUUUCAAGAUAUAGCAAGGAAAUAUAUUUUGGGGUUAAAUAUUUUGAUCUUCUUCCUUGUCUCAGUGUUAUGCCAGAGUUAGAUUGCAAAGUAACCCACGAUAUGUAGGGUUAAAUAACACCCAUCUGAUAAGAAUUUAUGGUUUGUAGGGCAUGGCUCACCUGAACCCUUAGGUAGGAAUUUGGGCAAGAUAAAAAAUUGGAGAUUAGUUUUCAUGGUCAAUUCAUUCUUUAUGGGCUGACAUGUAUUUUUUAAAAAAGUAACAAAUAGAGAGAUACGUUCGUCAGUUUGCUCCUUUCUGCCCGUGGACGCCGCCGAAGAAACAUCAUUAAAGUCUCUCUUCUCCCUGCUAUCAUGUCUAAGUCUGAGUCUCCUAAAGAGCCGGAACAGCUGAGGAAGCUCCUCAUUGGAGGGCUGAGCUUUGAAACAACCAAUGAGCGCCUGAGGAGCCAUUUUGAGCAAUGGGGAAUGCCCACAGACUCCGUGGUAAUGAGAGAUCCAAACACCAAGCCCUCCAGGGGAUUUGGGUUCGUCACAUAGGCAACUGUGGAGGAGGUGGAUGCAGCCAUGAAUGCAAGGCCACACAAAGUGGAUGGAAGAGUUGUGGAACCAAAGAGAGCUGUCUCAAGAGAAGAUUCUCAAAGACCAGGUGCUCACUUAACUGUGAAAAAAAUAUUCGUUGGUGGCAUUAAAGAAGACACUGAAGAACAUCACCUAAGAGAUUAUUUUGAACAGUAUGGAAAAAUUGAAGUGAUUGAAAUCAUGACUGACCGAGUCAAUGGCAAGGAAAGGGGCUUUGCCUUUGUAACCUUUGACGACCAUGAGUCUGUGGAUAAGAUUGUCAUUCAGAAAUACCAUACUGUGAAUGGCCACAACUGUGAAGUUAGGAAAGCCCUGUCAAAGCCAGAGAUGGCUAGUGCUUCAUCCAGCCAGAGGUCGAAGUGGUUCUGGAAACUUUGGUGGUGGUUGUGGAGGUGGUUUCGGUGGGAAUGACAACUUUGGUCGUGGAGGAAACUUCAGUGGUCGUGGUGGCUUUGGUGGCAGCCGUGGUAGUGGUGGAUAUGCUGGCAGUGGGGAUGGCUAUAAUGGAUUUGGUAAUGAUGGAGGCAAUUUUGGAGGUUGUGGAAGCCACAAUGAUUUUGGCAGUUACAACAAUCAGUCUUCAAAUUUUGGACCCAUGAAGGGAGAAAACUUUGGAGACAGAAGCUCUGGCCCCUGUGGUGGUGGCGGACAAUAUUUUGCCAAACCACGAAACCAAGGUGGCUAUGACGGUUCCAGUAGCAGCAGUAGCCAUGGCAGUGGCAGAAGAUUUUAAUUAGGAAACAAAGCUUAGCAGGAGAGGA